rnacentral:rRNA from 1 species
CACCGCGGUUAUACGAGAGGCCCAAGUUGAUAGACACCGGCGUAAAGCGUGGUUAAGAGAAGACAAACUAAAGCCGAACGCCCCCCCAGCUGUUAUACGCAAGCGGGGUCAUAGAAGCCCAAUCACGAAAGUAGCUUUAUAAAAUCUGAUGCCACGAAAGCUAAGGCA